rnacentral:misc_RNA from 1 species
GAUGAAGAACGUAGCGAAAUGCGAUAAGUAAUGUGAAUUGCAGAAUUCAGUGAAUCAUCGAAUCUUUGAACGCACAUUGCGCCCCUUGGUAUUCCGAGGGGCAUGCCUGUUCGAGCGUCAUAUUAACCACUCCCGCUUGCGGGGUCUUGGGCUUCGCCUCCGGGCGGGCCUUAAAAUCAGUGGCGGUGCCGUCGGGCUCUACGCGUAGUAAAUUUUCUCGCGAUAGGGUCCCGGUGGAUGCUUGCCAACAACCCCCAACUUCUUAAGGUUGACCACGGAUCAGGUAGGGAUACCCGCUGAACUUAAGCAUAUCAAUAAGCGGAGGA